GAUGAACGCUGGCGGCGUGCCUAAUACAUGCAAGUCGAGCGGCAGCAUGUCUCUCACCACCUUUCGGUAGUUGUGACCAUUAAAGUUCACAAAUAACUCGGGGAAGUGGUGAGAGAUGAUGGCGAGCGGCGGACGGCAGAGUAACGCGUAGGAACAUACCCCAAACUGAGGGAUAACUGCUCGAAAGAGUAGCUAAUACCGCAUGUGAUCUUCGGAUUAAGCUUCGGCGGUUUGGGAAUGGCCUGCGUCCGAUUAGCUUGUGUGAGGUAAAAGCGUCACCAAGGCGACGAUCGGUAGCUGGUCUGAGAGGAUGAUCAGCCUGACUGGAACUGAGAACGGUCCAGACUCCUACGGGAGG
rnacentral:rRNA from 1 species